rnacentral:rRNA from 1 species
GAUUCUGGCUCAGGAUGAACGCUUGCGGCGUGCUUAACACAUGCAAGUCGAACGGAGUUUAGAGAGCUUGCUCUUAAACUUAGUGGCGGACGGGUGAGUAACGCGUGGGUAACCUGCCUUUCACUGGGGGAUAACAGUUAGAAAUGACUGCUAAUACCGCAUAAGCGCACGGGAUCGCAUGAUCUAGUGUGAAAAACUCCGGUGGUGAAAGAUGGACCCGCGUCUGAUUAGCUAGUUGGUGAGGUAACGGCCCACCAAGGCGACGAUCAGUAGCCGGCCUGAGAGGGUGAACGGCCACAUUGGGACUGAGACACGGCCCAAACUCCUACGGGAGGCAGCAGUGGGGAAUAUUGCACAAUGGGGGAAACCCUGAUGCCAGCGACGCCGCGUGAGUGAAGAAGUAUUUCGGUAUGUAAAGCUCUAUCAGCAGGGAAGAAAAUGACGGUACCUGACUAAGAAGCCCCGGCUAACUACGUGCCAGCAGCCGC